rnacentral:rRNA from 1 species
GGCAGGCCUAAUACAUGCAAGUCGGACGGGAUAGAAGAGCUUGCUUAUCUUGAGAGUGGCGCACGGGUGCGUAACACGUAUGUUACCUACCUUGAUCAGGGGGAUAGCCUCUCGAAAGAGAGAUUAAGACCGCAUAACAUUGCAAUGUGGCAUCAUAAAGCAAUCAAAUAUUUAUAGGAUCAAGAUGGGCACGCGGAACAUUAGCUAGUUGGUAAGGUAACGGCUUACCAAGGCUACGAUGUUUAGGGGAUCUGAGAGGAUGACCCCCCACACUGGUACUGAGACACGGACCAGACUCCUACGGGAGGCAGCAGUAAGGAAUAUUGGUCAAUGGGCGGAAGCCUGAACCAGCCAUGCCGCGUGCAGGAAGACGGCCCUACGGGUUGUAAACUGCUUUUGUACCGGAAUAAACCUUUGGUCGUGACCAAAGCUGAAUGUACGGUAAGAAUAAGGAUCGGCUAACUCCGUGCCAGCAGCCGCGGUAAUACGGAGGAUCCAAGCGUUAUCCGGAUUUAUUGGGCUUAAAGGGUGCGUAGGUGGCUUAUUAAGUCAGGGGUGAAA